AAAGACCAAAAUGCAAGUCGGACGAGAGACCUUCGGGUCUCUAGUGGCGAACGGGUGAGUAACACGUAGGGAACCCGCCCGCGCACCGGGAAUACGCUCUGGAAACGGAGAACAAAUCCCGAUGUACAGGAAGGAGGCAUCUUCUUUCUGUGAAACAUCCUUUAGGGGAUGGGGCGCGGAUGGACCUGCGGUGCAUUAGUUGGUUGGCGGGGUAAAGGCCCACCAAGACGAUGAUGCAUAGCCGGCCUGAGAGGGUGGACGGCCACAUUGGGACUGAGACACGGCCCAGACUCCUGCGGGAGGCAGCAGAAGGGAAUUUUCGUCAAUGGGCGCAAGCCUGAACGAGCGAUGCCGCGUGAGUGAAGAAGGCCUUCGGGUCGUAAAGCUCUGUUGCGGGGGAAAAAAGGCAGCAUCAGGAAAUGGGUGCUGACUGAUGGUGCCCCGCCAGAAAGUCACGGCUAACUACGUGCCAGCAGCCGCGGUAAUACGUAGGUGGCGAGCGUUAUCCGGAAUGAUUGGGCGUAAAGGGUGCGCAGGCGGUCCUGCAAGUCUGGAGUGAAACGCAUGAGCUCAACUCAUGCAUGGCUUUGGAAACUGGAGGACUGGAGAGCAGGAGAGGGCGGUGGAACUCCAUGUGUAGCGGUAAAAUGCGUAGAUAUAUGGAAGAACACCAGUGGCGAAGGCGGCCGCCUGGCCUGUUGCUGACGCUGAGGCACGAAAGCGUGGGGAGCAAAUAGGAUUAGAUACCCU
rnacentral:rRNA from 1 species